AAUAGAUACCCGGGUAGUCCACGCCCUAAACGAUGCACACUAGGUCGAGGAGGCUUUGACGCCAUCUCGGCCGACGUUAAAACAUUAAGUGUGCCGCCUGGGGAGUACGGUCGCAAGGCUAAAACUCAAAGGAAUUGACGGGAGCUCACACAAGCGGUGGAGCAUGUGGCUUAAUUCGAAGCAACGCGAAGAACCUUAUCCAGGGUUUGACAUGUAUGGAUUAACCCCGUGAAAGCGGGGCCACACUCUUUGAGUGGAACAUACACAGGUGCUGCAUGGCUGUCGUCAGCUCGUGCUGUGAAGUGUCGGGUUAAGUCCCUUAACGAGCGAAACCCCUGUCGUUAGUUGCCAGCGAGUCAUGUCGGGGACUCUAACGAGACUGCCGGUGCCAAACCGGAGGAAGGUGGGGAUGACGUCAAGUCCUCAUGGCCUUUAUGCCCUGGGCUGCACACGUGCUACAAUGGCGCGGACAAAGCGAAGCGAUACGGCAACGUGGAGCAAAUCGCACAAACCGCGCCCCAGUUCGGAUU
rnacentral:rRNA from 1 species